CACCAACACAGAAAAUUUGUUAUUGUAAAAUUGGUAAACGUUGCUGUUCAGCCGUUUCAAUUUUGAAACAUACUGUAUAUUUGCUCAUAGCUGGUCAUAUUGUGUUUGCUUUUGAAUAUUACUGUAAUGUUUAGACAUACAAAAGAUGGUAUUGUCUUCCUUUUGACAUAUUUUUUUUUAGUUCCCGUUCAGUAUUAAUAUGUAAAUUAUUGCUCGAAUGAUUGCUUUUUAAGUCUACUAGUUAGACAUGUAAAUAGACAGUGCAUGUCAGUGACUCAGUGUUGCGAGUAUGUUAUGUUCUAGUGAAUUGUAUUAUACUAAUGUACCACCAAA
rnacentral:lncRNA from 1 species